rnacentral:rRNA from 1 species
AUUGAACGCUGGCGGCAGGCCUAACACAUGCAAGUCGAGCGGAUGAAGGGAGCUUGCUCCUGGAUUCAGCGGCGGACGGGUGAGUAAUGCCUAGGAAUCUGCCUGGUAGUGGGGGAUAACGUCCGGAAACGGGCGCUAAUACCGCAUACGUCCUGAGGGAGAAAGUGGGGGAUCUUCGGACCUCACGCUAUCAGAUGAGCCUAGGUCGGAUUAGCUAGUUGGUGGGGUAAAGGCCCACCAAGGCGACGAUCCGUAACUGGUCUGAGAGGAUGAUCAGUCACACUGGAACUGAGACACGGUCCAGACUCCUAAGGGAGGCAGCAGUGGGGAAUAUUGGACAAUGGGCGAAAGCCUGAUCCAACCAUGCCGCGUGUGUGGAGAAGGUCUUCGGAUUGUAAAGCACUUUAAGUUGGGAGGAAGGGCAGUAAGUUAAUACCUUGCUGUUUUGACGUUACCAACAGAAUAAGCACCGGCUAACUUCGUG